UUUUAAUGGAGAGUUUGAUCCUGGCUCAGGAUGAACGCUGGCGGCGUGCUUAACACAUGCAAGUCGAACGAUGAAGACCGUGCUUGCACGGUUGGAUUAGUGGCGAACGGGUGAGUAUCACGUGAGUAACCUUCCCUUGACUCUGGGAUAAGCCCGGGAAACUGGGUCUAAUACCGGAUACGACCAGUCCUCGCAUGGGGUGCUGGUGGAAAGAUUUAUCGGUCUUGGAUGGACUCGCGGCCUAUCAGCUUGUUGGUGAGGUAAUAGCUCACCAAGGCGAUGACGGGUAGCCGGCCUGAGAGGGUGACCGGCCACACUGGGACUGAGACACGGCCCAGACUCCUACGGGAGGCAGCAGUGGGGAAUAUUGCACAAUGGGCGAAAGCCUGAUGCAGCGACGCCGCGUGCGGGAUGACGGCCUUCGGGUUGUAAACCGCUUUCAGCAGGGAAGAAGCGCAAGUGACGGUACCUGCAGAAGAAGCGCCGGCUAACUACGUGCCAGCAGCCGCGGUAAUACGUAGGGCGCGAGCGUUAUCCGGAAUUAUUGGGCGUAAAGAGCUCGUAGGCGGUUUGUCACGUCUGCUGUGAAAGCCCGGGGCUCAACCCCGGGUGUGCAGUGGGUACGGGCAGACUAGAGUGCAGUAGGGGAGACUGGAAUUCCUGGUGUAGCGGUGAAAUGCGCAGAUAUCAGGAGGAACACCGAUGGCGAAGGCAGGUCUCUGGGCUGUUACUGACGCUGAGGAGCGAAAGCAUGGGGAGCGAACAGGAUUAGAUACCCUGGUAGUCCAUGCCGUAAACGUUGGGCACUAGGUGUGGGGGACAUUCCACGUUUUCCGCGCCGUAGCUAACGCAUUAAGUGCCCCGCCUGGGGAGUACGGCCGCAAGGCUAAAACUCAAAGGAAUUGACGGGGGCCCGCACAAGCGGCGGAGCAUGCGGAUUAAUUCGAUGCAACGCGAAGAACCUUACCAAGGCUUGACAUGGACCGGACCGCUGCAGAGAUGCAGCUUCCCUUCGGGGUCGGUUCACAGGUGGUGCAUGGUUGUCGUCAGCUCGUGUCGUGAGAUGUUGGGUUAAGUCCCGCAACGAGCGCAACCCCUAUCCUAUGUUGCCAGCACGUAAUGGUGGGGACUCAUGGGAGACUGCCGGGGUCAACUCGGAGGAAGGUGGGGACGACGUCAAAUCAUCAUGCCCCUUAUGUCUUGGGCUUCACGCAUGCUACAAUGGCCGGUACAAUGGGUUGCGAUACUGUGAGGUGGAGCUAAUCCCUAAAAGCCGGUCUCAGUUCGGAUCGAAGUCUGCAACUCGACUUCGUGAAGUUGGAGUCGCUAGUAAUCGCAGAUCAGCAACGCUGCGGUGAAUACGUUCCCGGGCCUUGUACACACCGCCCGUCAAGUCACGAAAGUGGGUAACACCCGAAGCCGGUGGCCUAACCCUUGUGGGGGGAGCCGUCGAAGGUGGGACUCGCGAUUGGGACUAAGUCGUAACAAGGUAGCCGUACCGGAAGGUGCGGCUGGAUCACCUCCUUUCUAAGGAGCA
rnacentral:rRNA from 1 species